AACUACAACACUUCUGCAGGCUAACCGUACUGAGUGAGACGAUUUCCUUUCUGAGACAUUGAGAGCUUUGCGUAAGGGAGAAAUACUGGAACUGCAUGGUUUGUAUCAAGGAAACUGUUGGGGAAAAAUACAAGGCGCUGAAGGCUUCCCGAGAACCAAAGAAAAUCUAAGGGAUUACUAUGGGGGAAGCAACUCCGUGAAAGACUUUAUAGAGAAUUAACUGUCUGGCACAUUACGUGAACCCAUGCAAACACAGACAGGAGAUCCAGGAUCUGAUGUGAACGUGUCCAGCCUUGAACCAGAUUGGGCAACCAAACUCUGGAAUGCAGCAACACUAGCCAUUAUAUCACCCUGUCACCCUAAUUACAAGAGUAUUCAUCUCCACAGAAGAUUAAUGGUAUAAAAAAUGCUGGGGCGUUUUCAUUGUUGGCACACAAUUUUUUUUUCUUAUACAUUUAAUAAUUAGGAGCAAGAUUUUCUGACUAGCUGGGUUUAUGUAUUUUCUUUGUUGCCUGCCCAUUCAAAUAAAUGUUGCAUUUUUGUUAGUCUUUUA